GACAGAGGGUGCAAACGUUGCUCGGAAUUACUGGGCGUAAAGCGCGUGUAGGCGGUGCCGCACGUCCGAUGUGAAAGCCCGGGGCUCAACCCCGGACGUGCAUUGGAUACGACGGCGCUGGAAUCCUGAAGAGGAGGGCGGAAUUCCCGGUGUAGAGGUGAAAUUCGUAGAUAUCGGGAGGAACACCAGUGGCGAAGGCGGCUCUCUGGACAGGUACUGACGCUGAGACGCGAAAGCGUGGGUAGCAAACAGG
rnacentral:rRNA from 1 species